rnacentral:lncRNA from 1 species
UGGAGUCCUAAGAGUCUAUGUUAUUGUCAUUCUUUCUUUAGAAAUCAGGUCUCUAUAACAUAUCCUGGAUAUUUAUAAUACUGUAUUACUUUGACUAAUACAUUCCUGACAGUAGAAAUGGUAGGGGAUUGGCUGGAUGGGUAUGGAGGACCUUUGGGAUAGCAUUGAAAAUGUAAACAAGGAAAAUACCUAAUUAAAAUAAAAUAAAAAAAAGAAAUCACAUUACAGCUUUAAAUGCAUCAGAAAAUGUCAAGACCUCUUUAAAACCACUAAUUAAGAAAUUGAAAGUGGUAGGCAACACCAUGGGAAGAACAACAAUAUCAACUAACCAGAUGCCCCAAAGCUCCCAGGGACGAAACCACCAACCAAAGAGUACACAUGGAGGGACCUCUGCCUCCAGCCUCAUAGGUAGCAGAGGAAGGCCUUGCCAGGCAUCAAUGGGAGCAGACACCCCUUAGCCCUGAAAAGGCUCAAUGCCCCAGUGUAGGGGAAUGCCAUGGAAGGGAGGUAGAAUUGGGUAGGUGGGUGUGUCGGGGAACACCAUUGUAGAAGCAGUGGGAGGGGAGAUUUGACAGUGGAUUUCUGGUGGGAAUCUGGGAAAGGUGAUAAUAUUUGAAAUUUAAAUAAAGAAAAUACCCAAUUAAAAAUAGAAAACAUUCCCACACAUUAAAUGUUCCACAUAUACUAUAUUUUGAUGUGAAUUAUCAGAGCAUGUUAAGAUUUUUUUCAGCAGUGAGUUGAAUGUAUUAUUUUUCAGAUUUAUGGGACACUACAGCUUUUCAUACAAACUGAGUACACGUUGGGUAGGACAUGGGCAGAAUAUUAAACUUGGUAUUAAAACAAUGCUUUGUGAAGGCACAAAGGAACAUAUUUUCAAGGAAAGGCUAUACACAGAGUAUAGAACAGUUGGAGUGGAAAAGGAGGCAAAGACGCAUCACAACUGGUCAUUAGGCAGCAAAAAUUGCGAGAUAAGAAACACAGUGAGUGCCUCAAAAAGAAACAGCAUCUCUGGCAAAUAACUUAAAGCUAAGCUGUAGGAGGCAGAAAUAGAACCAUUACCAAGGUUCCACUGAUUUGCUUUACUGUUGGUCAGUGUAGAGAGAAGAAGGUAAAAACAUUUUUUAUUGCCAUCCACUUUCAAUUUUUCUACUUCCUCCAUGAACCCAGGGAGGAGGAUAUGAGGUAUGAAUCAGAAAUACUCCAAGUUUACUGCAGGCUUUGCUGUCCAUGCCUUGAUAUGAGAUAUCUCUCUUGAUUGGAUCUCAUUUCAUUCCUUAUUUGAAUACAUGUACUCUAUCAAUCACAAGCAAGGAGAGCAAAUAAAUUUGUCAGCAGGGAAGGAUUUGUUUAGUCUGCUGGCUAUAUUCUAGGACGUAUGAGGUCCUGGGUAUAACCAAAGCUGGACUGUAUGGUAACAAAACAAGGCAGAGUGCUUCUGUAUCUGUCAGGAGAUGGAGCCUGUGGAAGGCUGCAAGGAGAGUGCUUGUUUGUUUCAGAGCCUCUAUGUUCUGAUUCCUUGGCUUCUAGUUCCUGCACAGGGAAUGCCACCACAUGUAAAAUGCAGGUAUCAGCUAUUGGUGUCCAUUCAUUGCCUCAGACAUGCAGGGCUGUGUUUUCUGCAAAGAAGAUACAAGAUUCAAGCUUCAGCUUGUGACAGGGCUAGGAAUUUCUGAAUUUUCUCAAUCUUAGGUCAGACACUUUGAGAAAUGUUAUGGCAGCAAAUUUCUUCCACAUACCACCAUGGAAUGUCUGAAAAAUCUUGAUGUAACUAACACAUACAAAUAUUACAGAAGAGAUAUGGGAAACCUGCACAUCAAGUCCUAUACUCUCUUGACCUUGUGGAGCCAAAGCAGCUAGAUCCAUGACCUGCUUCCACCAGGAAUGCAUUUGAUGCUGACUUUGGGAGUACAUAUUCCAGCCUCCCUGGUGCAGUUUUCUCUUGUUCUUGAGGAAAAAAUAACUAACCAAACAUGCUUGAAUAAGAUUAGUGCCCCAAUUUUUGGCCAUGAGAGAAGGGUAAUUAAGUGUUUCCAGAUAGCUGUGGCCAUUUGGAAAUAUACACCAACUUAUGAUAGCACAAGUUACUUUCUCAAAUCAGAGAGCACUUUUCAGCUGCUUGGUUCAGCCCAGCUGUUUGAACAAAUGUUUUCAUGUUUAAAGGGCAGCAUUCCUUUACCCUCUCACAUAAUGCCAAAGCUUAUAAACCCCAAUUUUGCAUUUUUCCUUUAUAAACCCCCUUCACUUAGACAUGGGAGUUCACUCUCCAUCAGGAAGGUUGCUGGCUCAAGCUUGAUCUUGAAUAAAGUCUCUCAUG